UACGUAGGGUGCAAGCGUUGUCCGGAAUUAUUGGGCGUAAAGAGCUCGUAGGCGGUCUGUCGCGUCGGCUGUGAAAACCCGGGGCUCAACCCCGGGCCUGCAGUCGAUACGGGCAGACUAGAGUGCGGUAGGGGAGACUGGAAUUCCUGGUGUAGCGGUGAAAUGCGCAGAUAUCAGGAGGAACACCGGUGGCGAAGGCGGUGGGCUGGGCCGGCACUGACGCUGAGGAGCGAAAGCGUGGGGAGCGAACAGG
rnacentral:rRNA from 1 species